AUAGAAAGUCAUUAUUGUACCUGUUAGACCUAUAUCAGGUAUAGAAGUAACAUUAUGACAAAAAUCUAAUAUUUUAAAACUUUUUCUAUACCAGAUCAACAUUAUAACUGAUUUAAAUGUUUUUGUACUCUACCCUAGGUCCCUUUUCUCGAUUCAUUUCUCUUAUCUGUGCCUUUCUCUCUACUAUCCCUUUCUUUCUUCUACAACAAGAUGCAACGAUGCUCAUGAUUUGGGAUGCAUCACAAGGUCUUCAUGUUUGUAUUUCUGAUGAUUUCAGUCUGGAUGGAAUACUAUUAUCCAUACAAGUCUCUAUUUUGUAAUGUAGAGAGAGAAAUAUAGAGAGAGUGAGUGAUGGAGGAGAAGCCGGAGAACGUGAAGGGUGAGGCGCUGCAAAUAAUUGAAGCAUUUGAGAUUCUUCCAAAGCUCGUGGUUUUCGAUCUCGAAUACUCUUUCUGGCCUUUCUGCUAGUUAAUUCCUAUUUCCUACCCUCUUUUCCUUAACCUAAUUUCAUUUAUACUCUUUAAUAUAUGAAAUCAGUCUUGUUGAAAAUUCAGUGAGUGUCAAUCGAAGCGUGAAAUGUGCUCUUUGUAUCCUCACGCCAAAGGCAUAUUGUUAGGGCUCAAAGAGAAAGGCAUCGCUGUUGCAAUCGCUUCUCGCACAGAAUACCGGCAAUUGAUAUAUGGAUCAUCGGAUGCAUUUUUGUAGAGGUGUUGACAGGAAAGUGACUAUUUCAUAGAAAAAAGUGUUGUGCAUUGUUAAGAUCUCGAUAAGUAUACUGAAUCGUAUCAAGUAAUAUAAAAUGGUAAGACCAACUA